AUGUAAUGCAAUUCCUACAACUUUAAUGCACCAGAUCCCAUUAGAACUCUGUAGUUGAGCAUGCUUGGGCUAGAGUAGUACUGUGAUGGAUGGCCUCCUGGGAAGUUCUAGUGUUUUACAUU
rnacentral:rRNA from 1 species